UGUAACCCUCAGAGUGUGAGGCAGAAUUUAUUCUUAAUUGUGCAAAUAUUUGCUAUAAGCUACAGUGAGCAACAUUCCACAAUCUUGGAUAUACAGAGACUGAAAGAAGGUAUGAAAGGGCUUGUGGAAGGCAAUCCCCACAAAUUGUCUCACUUGACAGGACUGGAGGAAAAGAUGAGACAUGGAACCAGCUUGCCAAUGCAUAAGUUUACUUUCUUUCCUGUUUCCAAGACCUGYGCAAUGCAAGAGACACAUUUUCAAGACAGUUAAGGACUUCCAGAACUCUCUCACCCAGAUCUGAGUGUUAUCCGCUGCUCUAAUAAAACAGCCUGCCAUAAUUAAUCAGCACUAUUUCUGGAAAAACAAAUUGCAGUUUAUGUUGAAGAUGAUAUGAGCAGAUAUACACACUUUGCUGGACUUUAUCACAGUUACCCUGAAGGGUACGCAUAGUUUGUGUUAGAGCACAGCAAGGAAGUGUGCACACUUAUGAGAAAAUAAGGACAUGUGAGAUGAAGCUUGUGGGGAGAAAUUGCCAUUUACAAAUGUCACUUGACAUUGAGUGCUGCAGUGACGGAUCAUCACCUGACAGCUUCUCCUGCAGUUGUUGCUUUGAUGGCAUACGUGACAAGCUGCUCUGUUUCRCGUUUUCCAGCAUGCAGAGUCUAGCAGAUGGAGGCAUACUUUCUUCACAGAUAAAACAUCCUAACGUAUGCGACGAAGAACUCAUGAAUGCUCUCAAGGCAGGUGACACCUAACUCCUGAGACAUGGUCACCCUCUCCCGACACUGCAGGUCACUGGAGGAGGGAAGAUGGGGAGCCUGUGCUCACCCUCCCGCUGCCUUCUGCAAACUGCAGUGCUGGAGUA
ensembl:lncRNA